AAUAUACUGAACUUAAUUUUUUUUAUUAAAGUUAUUUCAAUAGGGUAUUGCAAUGAUUUGUCAAACUAUGUGUGUUGACAGGUUUUCAUAUAAAAAAUGGUUCCAACUCAAUAAAAGCGCUGUGCUUAAAUCUGUAUCUUUCAGAUUUACACACAGAAACCAGAUCUCCCACAAGACUUCUUCCUAAGGAGCAUCAAAUUUGUCAAAUUAGGCAGGACUCACAUCCUAUACAUCAUCUUUGAUAACUCAGCUGCUCUGAACUUACAGUAUCUGCCAGAGUGAGUGGUGCGGUGCUGUGUGGGUGCUGAGAAGCGCUGGAAAAGACAGACCAAAGAAGUUUUUUCUCCAUCGGAGCUGCAGCUGUUAUAUACACAAAUAUUAGGUGGUGCUGUGAGAGUUUUAGAUUUAAUACUACAUGCUCAUUACAUUUUAUUUAAUUGUGGGUUCCUACUAAGAAAUGUCCAUAUCAAACAUAGAGUCUAUUUACUGUAAAAUGUUUAAAAAAAAAGAAGCAAAGCCUAUUAAUUUGUGUAUCAGUCCUCCCUUCACUCCAUUUAGAAUUAAUUUGCCAAAAAAAGCUGACUGAUAACAUUAGUGCAUUAAAAAAAUGUUAUCAGACAUUCAGUAGCAUUUAAGAGAAUUGUUUUUGCUACAGUAAACACAAAAUAUGAUGUCGUGACAGCCAUAAUCAACACAUACUAGGAGUCAAACUCCAAAAAUUGUUACUUCAGUCCUCCUCUGACAGUAUCAUCUUCCCAGAUGGUUCAGUCCAGUACCAUCUGGAAAGAUGUCCUUGGAAACUGUUUGUAAAAAGGGCAUACGGUUUCAAAAAAACACACCACACAUGAUCAGAUGAACCAUCUGUCUGUAACCCUUUGUAAUAACCAUUACUCAUACACUAAUAAACUGAAAACUGAGGACUAAA